rnacentral:lncRNA from 1 species
GAGAUUGCCCGCAUCAAAGCUCAGGAUGAGGCAUUUGCCCUGCAGGAUGUACCCCUGUCGUCUGUUGUCCGCUCCAUCAUCGGGUCUGCCCGUUCUCUGGGCAUUCGCGUGGUGAAGGAACGUUGUUCUGCAAAUGUUCUAAGAAAUGGAAAGAUCUCCAUGAAGGAUCCAAGUGGGAGAAGUUCAGUGUGACCUGGGUCUGUCGUCCUAGAGGCAAGUGGAGAAUGCCUCAGUUCAGAAGAGCUUGCAGCUUUCCAGAAGGAACGAGCCAUCUUCCUGGCUGCUCAGAAGGAGGCAGAUUUGGCUGCCCAAGAAGAAGCUGCCAAGAAGUGACCCUUGCCCCACCAACUCCCAGAUUUCAAAGGAGGUAGUUGCAAAAGCUGUGCCCAAGGGGAGGAAGGAGGUCACACCAAUAUGAUGAUGGUUUUCAUGACUUUGAAUGAUAUAUUUUUGUACAUCUAGCUGUAUCGAGGCAUCAGGCCUGAAUAAACAUCCUUUCUUACCCA